rnacentral:rRNA from 1 species
CGGGUGAGUAACACGUGGGUAACCUGCCUGUAAGACUGGGAUAACUCCGGGAAACCGGGGCUAAUACCGGAUGCUUGAUUGAACCGCAUGGUUCAAUUAUAAAAGGUGGCUUUUAGCUACCACUUACAGAUGGACCCGCGGCGCAUUAGCUAGUUGGUGAGGUAACGGCUCACCAAGGCAACGAUGCGUAGCCGACCUGAGAGGGUGAUCGGCCACACUGGGACUGAGACACGGCCCAGACUCCUACGGGAGGCAGCAGUAGGGAAUCUUCCGCAAUGGACGAAAGUCUGACGGAGCAACGCCGCGUGAGUGAUGAAGGUUUUCGGAUCGUAAAACUCUGUUGUUAGGGAAGAACAAGUACCGUUCGAAUAGGGCGGUACCUUGACGGUACCUAACCAGAAAGCCACGGCUAACUACGUGCCAGCAGCCGCGGUAAUACGUAGGUGGCAAGCGUUGUCCGGAAUUAUUGGGCGUAAAGCGCGCGCAGGCGGUUUCUUAAGUCUGAUGUGAAAGCCCCCGGCUCAACCGGGGAGGGUCAUUGGAAACUGGGGAACUUGAGUGCAGAAGAGGAGAGUGGAAUUCCACGUGUAGCGGUGAAAUGCGUAGAGAUGUGGAGGAACACCAGUGGCGAAGGCGACUCUCUGGUCUGUAACUGACGCUGAGGCGCGAAAGCGUGGGGAGCGAACAGGAUUAGAUACCCUGGUAGUCCACGCCGUAAACGAUGAGUGCUA